GACGAACGCUGGCGGCGUGCUUAACACAUGCAAGUCGAACGGAAAGGGCCUGCUUGCAGGGUCCUCGAGUGGCGAACGGGUGAGUAACACGUGGGUGAUCUGCCCUGCACUUCGGGAUACGCCUGGGAAACUGGGUCUAUUACACGUCAGGAGCCAUUUUUAGAGUGGUGGUUGGAAAGUUUUUUCGGUGUAGGAUGAGCUCGCGGCCUAACAGCUUGUUGGUGGGGUAAUGGCCUACCAAGGCGGCGGCGGGUAGCCGGCCUGAGAGGGUGGGCGGCGACAUUGAGACUGAGAGACGGCCGAGACUCCGACGGGAGGCAGCAGUGGGGAAUAUUGCACAAUGGGCGCAAGCCUGAUGCAGCGACGCCGCGUAGGGGAAGACGGCCUUCGGGUGGAAAACGCCUUUCGCUAGGGACGAAGCUUUUUGUGACGGUACCUAGAGAAGAAGCACCGGCUAACUACGUG
rnacentral:rRNA from 1 species